rnacentral:tRNA from 1 species
UCUAAAGUGACAGAUAAAUGUAAUGAAUUUAAGCUUCAUAAAUAAAGAAUUUAAUUCUUUCUUUAGAA